UAUGGUCAAGCUACGAAGGGCAUACGGUGGAUGCCUUGGUACCGAGCGUCGAAGAAGGACGUGGCAAACUGCGAUAAGCGCCGGGGAGGAGUAAGCAUCCGUAGAUCCGGCGAUUUCCGAAUGGGGAAACCCGGUGGGGGUCAUGCCCCGCCAUCCCCGGCUGAACACAUAGGCCGGGAGAAGAGAAGUGGGUGAACUGAAACAUCUUAGUAACCCGCAUAAAAGAAAUCAACAGAGAUUCCCGUAGUAGCGGCGAGCGAACUGGGAAUAGCCCAAACCACAGGGAUGCCAAGCCGGCAGGCGUUGCCUCUGUGGGGUUGUAGGACCGUUCUUGGCUGGUCUGCCGGCCGGCCUAGGAGUUACAAAGUGUUUGUAUAGCGCAAGCUGCUGGGAAGCAGCGCCGCAGAGGGUGAUAGCCCCGUGCGCGAAAUGCAAACGCCUCCGAUGAGCGGUUCCUGAGUACCACGGGACCCGGGAAAUCCUGUGGGAAUCCGGGAGGACCACCUUCCAAGGCUAAAUACGACUCGGUAACCGAUAGUGAACCAGUACCGUGAGGGAAAGGUGAAAAGAACCCCGGCUAGGGGAGUGAAAUAGUACCUGAAACCGUAUGCCUACGAACCGUUGGAGGGCUAUGCCGUGCCUUCGGGCCGGAAUGCCUGACAGCGUGCUUUUUGUAGAACGAACCGGCGAGUUAUGGUAUGCUGCGAGGUUAAGGGGUUAAAACCUGGAGCCGAAGCGAAAGCGAGUCUGAAUAGGGCGAUUGAGUAGCAUGCUGUAGACCCGAAACCAAGCGAUCUAUCCAUGGCCAGGGUGAAGCAUGGGUAAGACCAUGUGGAGGCCCGAACCAAUAUUCGUUGAAAAGGAUUUGGAUGAGUUGUGGAUAGCGGUGAAAAGCUAAUCGAGCUUGGAGAUAGCUGGUUCUCCCCGAAAUAUCUUUAAGGAUAGCCUCGUGUAACUAGCGGGCGGAGGUAGAGCACUGAAUGGACUAGGGGGCCCGAAAGCUUACCAAACCCAAUCAAACUCCGAAUGCCGCCUUGCCGUAUCACGGGAGUCAGCCUGCGGGGGAUAAGCUCCGUAGACGAGAGGGAAACAGCCCAGACCGCCAGCUAAGGUCCCUAAGCAAUGCUAAGUGGGAAAGGAUGUUGAGUUACUUAGACAACCAGGAGGUUGGCUUAGAAGCAGCCAUCCUUUAAAGAGUGCGUAAUAGCCCACUGGUCAAGUGAUUCUGCGCCGAAAAUGUAACGGGGCUAAGCAUUGCACCGAAGCUGCGGAUUCCGCGCAAGCGGAGUGGUAGGGGAGCGUUCCACACUAGGUUGAAGGCAGACCGUAAGGACUGCUGGACGAAGUGGAAGUGAGAAUGCCGGUAUGAGUAGCGAGAGAAGAGUGAGAAUCUCUUCCGCCGUAAGUCUAAGGUUUCCUUGGGAAGGUUCGUCCACCAAGGGUUAGUCGGCCCUAAGCCGAGGCCGAAAGGCGUAGGCGAUGGCGAGCAGGUCAACAUUCCUGCACCACCAGUAUGCGUUACUACCGAUGGGGGGACGCAGAAGGAUAGGCCAGCAGACUGAUGGACGCGUCUGUGAAAGCCCGUAGGGGGAGGAAGUGUCAAAUGCAUCUCCUCACAUACCCUGAAAGGUGACGAGGACUCGAACCCUUGGGUUCGGGGAACUGGUUGAUUCCAUGCUGCCGGGAAAAGCCUCUAGGGAGUGUGCUGGUGACCGUACCGUACACCGACACAGGUAGACAGGGAGAGUAUCCCAAGGCGAGCGAGAGAACCCAUGCAAAGGAACUCGGCAAAUUCACCCCGUAACUUCGGGAGAAGGGGUGCCGCGGUAGGGUCGCUGGCAGGGUCAAACUUGCCAUGUAGCCCGAGGCGGCCGCAGUGAAAAGGCCCAAGCGACUGUUUAGCAAAAACACAGGUCUCUGCCAAAGCGAAAGCCCACGUAUAGAGACUGACGCCUGCCCGGUGCCGGAAGGUUAAGGAAGGGGGUUAGCCGCAAGGCGAAGCUCUCGACCGAAGCCCCGGUGAACGGCGGCCGUAACUAUAACGGUCCUAAGGUAGCGAAAUUCCUUGUCGGGUAAGUUCCGACCUGCACGAAUGGCGUAACGAUUUGGGCGCUGUCUCUGCAUGGGACUCGGCGAAAUUGCAUUACGCGUGAAGAUGCGCGUUACCCGCGAAAGGACGGAAAGACCCCGUGGAGCUUUACUGUAGCCUGGCACUGAGUUUCGGUCUAGCAUGUAUAGGAUAGGUGGGAGGUUUUGAAGGGAGGUCGUCAGGUCUCCUGGAACCGACCUUGGAAUACCACCCUUGUUAGGUUGGGACCCUAACCCUGAGCCGUUAGCCGGCCAGGGAACACUGUCAGGUGGGCAGUUUGACUGGGGCGGUCGCCUCCCAAAAGGUAACGGAGGCGCUCAAAGGUACCCUCAGCACGGUCGGAAAUCGUGCAUCGAGUGUAAGGGCAUAAGGGUGCUUAACUGUGAGACAGACAUGUCGAGCAGAUGCGAAAGCAGGACCUAGUGAUCCGGCGGUCCCGUGUGGAAGGGCCGUCGCUCAACGGAUAAAAGUUACCCCGGGGAUAACAGGCUUAUCUCCCCCAAGAGUUCACAUCGACGGGGAGGUUUGGCACCUCGAUGUCGGCUCGUCGCAUCCUGGGGCUGAAUAGGGUCCCAAGGGUUGGGCUGUUCGCCCAUUAAAGCGGUACGCGAGCUGGGUUCAGAACGUCGUGAGACAGUUCGGUCCCUAUCCUUCGCGGGCGUUGGAAAUUUGAGAGGCUCUGUCCUUAGUACGAGAGGACCGGGAUGGACAGACCUAUGGUGCACCAGUUGUCGCGCCAGCGGCACAGCUGGGUAGCUAUGUCUGGACGGGAUAACCGCUGAAAGCAUCUAAGCGGGAAACCCCCCUCAAGAUGAGAUUUCCAUGUACCCUCGAGGUGCGAGAGGCCCCUGGAAGACUACCAGGUUGAUAGGCCGGAGGUGUAAGCGUGGCGACAUGUUCAGCUGACCGGUACUAAUAGGCCGAGAGCUUGACCAUUUU
rnacentral:rRNA from 1 species